UCUUGUUACCAUGAGAAGUAAAGACAACCUUGAGGACCUAGAGACCUAGAGCACAGUGUUUUAGGAUCAGAAAGGCAGAAGGCAACUGGAGGAGCAGAGGAAGGAAAUCUAGACCGCGCCAAAGAAUGAUGGAGUGACACUUCUUUGGGCUCAUCAUCCAUGGUGGCCAAUGAGGACUGGGAGUAUGGUUUGGCUGAACAGGCAUGCAAUUUUCUAUCAAGUCAAUUUAUGCUGUGAAGUGGCUCAAAACG